rnacentral:rRNA from 1 species
UGGGGAAUUUUGCACAAUGGGGGAAACCCUGAUGCAGCGACGCCGCGUGAUUUAGAAGGCCUUCGGGUUGUAAAAAUCUUUUCUAUGGGAAGAAAAUGACAGUACCAUAGGAAUAAGGACCGGCUAAUUACGUGCCAGCAGCCGCGGUAAUACGUAAGGUCCGAGCGUUGUCCGGAAUCAUUGGGCGUAAAGGGUACGUAGGCGGGUAAGCAAGUUAGAAGUGAAAUCCUGUAGCUCAACUACAGUAAGCUUUUAAAACUGCUCAUCUUGAGAUAUGGAAGGGAAAGUGGAAUUCCUAGUGUAGCGGUGAAAUGCGCAGAUAUUAGGCGGAAUACCGGUGGCGAAGGCGACUUUCUGGCCAUAAUCUGACGCUGAGGUACGAAAGCGUGGGUAGCAAACAGG